rnacentral:rRNA from 1 species
UACGAAGGGGGCUAGCGUUGCUCGGAAUCACUUGGGCGUAAAGGGUUGCGUAGGCGGGUUUUUAAGUCAGAGGAUGAAAUCCUGGAGCUCAACUCCAGAACUGCCUUUGAUACUGAAAGUCUUGAGUAUGGGAGAAGGUGAGUGGAACUGCGAGUGUAGAGGUGAAAUUCGUAGAUAUUCGCAAGAACACCAGUGGCGAAGGCGGCUCACUGGCCCAUAACUGACGCUGAGGCACGAAAGCGUGGGGAGCAAACAGG